UUCUUUCUUGGUUUGGUCUUCUUUCAUCGAAUCAAUCCUGAUGUGGAUGUGGGAGGAGGUGCACAAAUAUUCGAAGAAGCUCGAGGGCAAUCCUUUUUGAUGACUUUUUUUUUUGUCUUUUUUUAAUUAUCUCUGUCGAUUGAAAAAUAAAGAAAAAAA
rnacentral:ribozyme from 1 species